rnacentral:rRNA from 1 species
UACAGAGGUCCCAAGCGUUGUUCGGAAUUACUGGGCGUAAAGGGCGCGUAGGCGGCCUGUUAAGUUCGAAACGUGAAAUCCCCGGGCUCAACCCGGGAACUGCGUCCGAUACUGGACAGGCUUGAAUCCGGGAGAGGGAUGCGGAAUUCCAGGUGGUAGCGGUGAAAUGCGUAGAUAUCUGGAGGAACACCGGUGGCGAAGCGGCAUCCUGGACCGGCAUUGACGCUGAGGCGACGACAGCGUGGGGAGCAAACAGG